rnacentral:rRNA from 1 species
UGGGGAAUAUUGGACAAUGGGCGCAAGCCUGAUCCAGCCAUGCCGCGUGAGUGAUGAAGGCCCUAGGGUUGUAAAGCUCUUUUGUGCGGGAAGAUAAUGACGGUACCGCAAGAAGAAGCCCCGGCUAACUCCGUGCCAGCAGCCGCGGUAAUACGGAGGGGGCUAGCGUUGUCCGGAAUUACUGGGCGUAAAGCGCGCGUAGGCGGUCCACCAAGUCGGGGGUGAAAGCCCGGGGCUCAACCCCGGAAUGUCCUCCGAGACUGUUGGACUGGAGUUCGGGAGAGGAGAGCGGAAUUCCCAGUGUAGAGGUGAAAUUCGUAGAUAUUGGGAAGAACACCGGUGGCGAAGGCGGCUCUCUGGCCCGCAACUGACGCUGAGGCGCGAAAGCGUGGGGAGCGAACA